rnacentral:rRNA from 1 species
UACGAAGGGGGGCUAGCGUUGCUCGGAAUCACUGGGCGUAAAGGGUGCGUAGGCGGGUCUUUAAGUCAGAGGUGAAAUCCUGGAGCUCAACUCCAGAACUGCCUUUGAUACUGAGGAUCUUGAGUUCGGGAGAGGUGAGUGGAACUGCGAGUGUAGAGGUGAAAUUCGUAGAUAUUCGCAAGAACACCAGUGGCGAAGGCGGCUCACUGACCCGAGUACUGACGCUGAGGCACGAAAGCGUGGGGAGCAA